AACAAUCAGGUGUAAAAUGGCUGUUUGGUAUCGUGUCUGGUUAUGCAAGCCAGGAGACCCUGACUGAUCCCUCUUACUCAAGAGGGGGGAACAAAGCAGCCAGAUUGUAUUGAUGAACUUGUUCUUAACAGUUAGUUUAAUUAUUCCAUCUAAAAAUCAAUAGAAUUAUCAGAUGAGGAAGUUUUCUGCACUUUCAUGUUAUUGAUCAUGUGUCAUGCUUUAAAAAUGUGAACCAGGAAAAGUAGGUUUCGAGGCAAAAACCUUUGCUAUGAUGGAGGGAGCGAGGCUGAGGUUAUAUGCUUCUAAACUACAGAAAUUUAGUAAUUCCUCCUAGGAAAAUUACUGUAAAGCUAAAAAGAGUUAGGGUUAAACUUAGAAAAAACCCAUAUGAUAUAAAUGACCAAAAUGCUGUAAUUAUGAUGAGCACUUCAUCUAACUGGAGAACAAGAGUCUGCAUUGCAAUAAAUUGACUUUUUUUAUUUAUUAUUUCUUCUGAACUGGUUCAUCCAGAAACCUGUACAGGCAUUUUUCAUUAGUAUGCAGAGUUAGCUUUGUUUCAGUUUCUAAUACUUCUGAGAUCAUUGCAGCAUCUCUGCUGUGUGGACUCCUUUCACACAUGCUUAGCCUCUCUGUUCUAAAAAUCACUGAUUGGGCAGCACUGGCUCUGGGAUCACGUCUGACUUAUAAAAUCAAUUGUUUUUCAGAGAUAAAAACGAUAAGUUGCAUUUUAAAUCAGAAUUUAUAACAAAUGGAUAGUUAAGCAGGGUAGUUCAACAAUACACUCCCUUCAGCUCCUUUUGCCUUCUCAGUUUGUAUGCCGUCUGUCUUACCUGGCUGCCAGCUUUGAGUCUUCCCCUCUAGCAGCAAACAGCAAACAAGCCUUAUCUUCCUGGGACAAGCCAUGCCUCAGCCCAUCUGCUUGCUUCUCCAAAGCACCACUCAAUAUAUAGCUCACCAUGCCCAGGCUCUACUGAAGAUGAGCAGAAAGGAACGAGGAAAAAUUUCCAGGUCCUCCAUGUGUCACCAUCCCUUGCUGACUCAUACCACAUUAUGCUUUUUUAACUACCAUGAUUGAGUUAUCCAUUAACAAUGGCAAAGGAAAAUUAAUUCUUGCCUGGGUAAGUCUGACGACCAGAGCUUUGAGCAAAGAAAAAGUAAAACAAAAGUCAGUUGUAGACAAGGUGGAAUGGUUUCUGUAGGGUUUAAAAUAUUCCGUUCCCUGGAUGCUGGGGAUCCAAGUAGUGCUGAGUGGUUGAUGUGCAGUCUUGGUUUGGGAGCUUCUUGUGAAUGUUGGCCUCCAACAAGCUCUUUAUAGGCCAGAACAGACUGUGUCUGAAACUCUGCAUUGGUUUUCUCCUCUGUAGAUCAUGAAGAACCCAAAUUGGUUUUCUUCAAGGAACUUGUCAUGAUCCAAGCAGGAAUAUCAUGGCAGCAGAGAACUGAAAUGCUGAGCCUGUAGCUCAUUGAUGAGGUACUAGAAGUUGGGAGUACAGCAAACUAGCUAAAAUGCAGUUAUUUUCAGGAAAAUAGGCUCACUGAAGUACUGUUGGUUUUUGCUGUUUCUUUUUUUGAUCAGUACAUUUGACCAAUAUGAACAAUAAUGUCUGCAGGAGAGUGAGACUUUUCAUUCUGUGGCAGAGCAAAGCUUCUAAGAGAUGAAUGCACGAUGGCAUUGGCCACUGAUCCAAGCUAAGCAGCCUGACUCUCCUACCAGGAAAUACUUAGCAGACGUCAGGAGAUGAGCUUUUUAGCAGCUACAUGGGUGUUACUGUGGUGACUGUAACCAGGCAAAAACACACCGUUCCUAUUGAGAUGGUUCUACAAUUGUGGACUUGGAUACGAUUAAGAGAUUUCUAAAGUUUCCCUGCUCUGUGAGGUUUUUGAAGAGACAGCAUUCAGCGAUUGUCACCAGGUGAGUGCCUUUCCAAAGAAAGGUAAGGAUGUGCUUGCCUUGAAAGAUGUCAUCAGUAAUCUCAAACACCAGAACAGAAAUGCAUCAUUUUAUCUUACUUUCCUAGAGAAACAAAACAGGACAAGUGUACAAUUAAUGAAAAAAGAGGAUUGCAGUGCAAACCCAAAUUCUUCAUAUACUGAUAAUUGCGUAUUAAUCUCAGCAAUUAGCCAUGAGCUGCUAUUUUCCUUCAGUGUGCAGCUCUCUCUGAAAUUGCAGUGAUGUUAGUAAUGUACACAAAAAUGAUAAUCUGCUUCUCUAGGCUUGUUUAAGACAAAAAGACUUAAUCACCAAACACCACUGUUCUUAAUGUACUGAUUUUUGUUGACAGAACUGAUAUGAACGUCUUCUAUAAUACAGCCUGCAUUCAGCCAACAGAGUCAGAGAAUGGAAGAGUAGGAGGCACCCUUUGAUCAUAUGGUUUGAAUGCUCUCCUAUUAAAACCAUUGCACUUUACUUGCUUUAUUGAUUGUCUAGAUUAUCUAGAUUAUCUAGAAGGAUGAAGAAUCAGAGAGGAAAGGUAGCAAACUAGCAGUGGGGAGACAUACAUGUUGCAUGACUCUUCUCUGGUAGAAAAGAUGCUGCACGCAUAGACAAAAGAAAAUAAAGUCUUCCAGUAAGUAUCACAAUCUCCUCAAUUCUUUUCUCCAGUACUUGACAUAAUCUUUACGUGUUUAAAAAUUAAAUGUAAAGUUGCAGGAAGGACUGCACAGUAGCUUCUCUGGGCCUGAAUCCAUUCUUUAUCAGGGCCUUCCCGUCUUUUUGCCAUCCUUUGUUAGCUCUUGUAAAAUGAGGAAUUGUGUGAGACAUGAGCACAGUCCAGACCUCAUUCAAGUCUCUGUUUGUUCCCUGAAUGACCUGGCUGUGCAGAUCUCACACUGCUCACGUCAAUGCAGAGGGAAAAGCCCCAGUCUUGAAGUGUAAGCACAAGGGAGAGAACUGAGUUUUCCCGCGUGUUGAUGCUGCCAUUGCAUCAUUCCAAGCUCAGGAUUUAGUGUCUCAGGAAAUAUUUCUCGUCAUUGUCUGGAUUCUUUCACAUUUGAUCGCUCUAACUUCCCCAACAGCAAAGGUUCUCUUUGAAAUCCUUAAUAUCCACUUAUUGUUCUUGCUUCACAUUUGAAAUCAAACAGGUAUGAAACAAAUUUCAUGUAGCUCCAACCUUUUUCCACCCAGCUUAGUAAACUGGUAUCAAUCCAGCUAAAACAUCUAACAGAGACCAAACAGGCUGUACCAGGAAGUAUAUUCAUUCUGUUAUGUGAUUUUUUUCAGCACAAUGGAUUGGCUUCCUUUGGAAACUUGCACCAGAUUGAAUACUGGAAGGUAUGAAUCCCACUCAAUGUAGUAAAAGGAGAGAUGACCUCUUACAGUGUUCGUUACUGGGAUUUGCUCUCAAAGAAGUUUGGAGAGGGCUUGGAGGAGGCUGACCCAGCGGCCACUCCCAGCACCAAGCACUGACCAAGAGAUGCCUCCAUGAAGUUUCAUUCCUCACCUGGAGGAGGAGGUAAUUAAUCCAAGAGAAGUAACCAUCCGGAGCAGCAAACUGAGAACACCAUAAUAGAUAAAAGGCACUUUGAAGACUCUGCCUAAGCAAUGUGGAAUGUCCAGACUGACACAAGGUCACUUCAGUUGGAAAAGACACAUAGGAUCACCAAGUCCAACCACCACCUAACACUGCUGUGUCCACUGCUAAACCAUGUCCCUAAGCACCACAUCCCAGCAUCUCUUAAAUACCUCCGGGGAUGAAAACUCCACUACUUCCCUGGGUAGCCAGUACCAAUGUGUAACCACACUUUCCAUGAAGAAAUUCCUCCUGACGUGUAGCCUAAGCCUUCACUGAUGCUAUGUGAGGCCAUUUCCGCACACCCUAUUUAGUGUAGGGUUUUUAGAGUUAGGGUUCUGGUUAGGCUGUGGUUGGACCUGAUGAUCUUCAAGGUAUUUUCCAACCUGGGUAAUUCUAUGAUUCUAUGAUUCUAUGAUCCUAUUGCUUUUCACCUGAGAAAAAGCUGCUGCUGCUGUGGUUGAUGGUGCUGUCUCCAGCACUGGGUCUGUCCCAUCACCUCUAGUCACCUUGUGCGUGCCUUCUGGCCAGCUGUCUGCAUUCAGGUUAAAUCACUUCCCUCACUGAAGGACUUGUCCUCUCCCCAGGUGACAAGCACAGCCCAUGUCACAGAAUCACAGAAUCACAGAAUUGUAGGGGUUGGAAGGGACCUCUAGAGAUCAUCGAGUCCAACCCCCCUGCCAAAGCGGGCUCCCUACACCAUGUCACACAGGUAGGCACCCAGGCGGGUCUUAAAUAUCUCCAGAGAAGGAGACUCCACCACCUCCCUGGGCAGCCUGUCUCUGCCAUCUCUCCAUGCUCUUAGCUCAGGUUAAAGCCUUCAAGCUCUCCCUCUUUCCCAUGUCUUUUCCUUGGAGCACUGAGGGGCUCCCCAUCCCCAUUUUUUAAAUCAGCCCAACAUCCUCACUGUCAUACACUGGGACUCUUCUGUCCCAGUCAUAUUUCCCUGUCACAGCUGAUGGCUGGGCACAAUGAGGGGCUGAGAUGUCCUCUGCAGAGACAGAGUUAUUUGUUGAGCCUAGAACCAUGCUUCCCGUUGCUCUUUUUCAUGCAUGAGGAAAGGCUGUUUGCAGUAGGUUGGGCACAGUCAUUAAGUACCAUGGUUUUUGCAAGCACCUGGUAACCUGCAUGUUGGUUUUGAGUCAUGACGGUUGGUUGUUAUUUUAUCUUCAAGUUAUCAAGCAGCUUGAGGUGCAAUACCAUGAGAAAGAAAGAGCAGCAAUUAGUCACCAUCCCAUGAAAUGCUGCAACUCGUUCCUCUCUCUGAAUCUCAUCUGUUCAUCUUAGUCAGAUUAUGGGGAGCGGGAGGCUUCAUUUCUCACCUGAGGUUUUAGUAACAGAUUGAAAAAACAAUGGCACUACAUGGGAAUAUAAUGUGACCAUCAUCUAGAAAACACACAGAGGCAGAGGGAUUGGGUUCAUGCAGAAACCAACCAUGAUCUGGGCCAAAAAACUAUGGGAUAUAUUGCUUAAUCUACCCCUCUGGCUCUGUUCUUAGAAUUCAAAUUUUCUCUGAGCACUCCAGAUCAGCUGGGGAUGCUACAGAGUAUUGAAGUUCCAUGAUAUUCAUGAACUCUGAGAAGUUUUGUGGCAAUGUGGAAAGACGGUAAAUGAGGUACCAUUUGUGAUGCUGUCUGUCUGGACACUCACAACAGCAAAGGCAAACUUAGCCAAAUCAAUUACUUUUAGUGGCAUCAGCAAUGGAGGGCAGCCAGCCAGCCCUACAGUUCUUUAAGGAGUUAUAAAAUGCACUUCAUUUUUAUAACCUCUGUACAAUAAAGUAUUGCUCUAAAAAGUG